rnacentral:rRNA from 1 species
GAUGAACGCUAGCGGCAGGCCUAAUACAUGCAAGCCGAACGGCAAGUUUGAUAGCAAUAUUGGACCUAGAGUGGCGCAAGGGUGCGUAACACGUAUGCAACCUGCCCGCGACAGGAGGAUAGCUCCCCGAAAGGGGAAUUAACCCUCCAUAACACCAUGAGAAGGCAUCUGAUUAUGGUUAAACCGCAAGGGGUCGCGGAUGGGCAUGCGGUUGAUUAGCUAGUUGGCGGGGUAAAGGCCCACCAAGCCGAUGAUCAAUAGGUGGUCUGAGAGGACGACCAGCCACACGAGGAGUGAGACACGGCCCAGACUCCUACGGGAGGCAGCAGUGGGGAAUGUUGGACAAUGGGCGCAAGUCUGAUCCAGCAAUGCCGCGUGCGGGAAGAAGGCCUUCGGGGUGUAAGACGCUUUUGUACGGAACGACAAGGCUCUGGCUAAUACCUGGGGCUGAGGACGGUACCGUAAGAAUAAGCACCGGCUAACUACGUG